rnacentral:rRNA from 1 species
GGAGGAGGCAAGCGUUGUUCGGAAUCACUGGGCUUAAAGCGCGUGUAGGCGGAUCGGAAAGUGUUUUGUGAAAGCCCCCGGCUCAACCGGGGAAUUGCUGGGCAAACUAUCGAUCUUGAGGCAGGUAGGGGCGUGUGGAACUCUAGGUGGAGCGGUGAAAUGCGUAGAUAUCUAGAGGAACGCCGGUGGCGAAAGCGACACGCUGGGCCUGAUCUGACGCUGAGACGCGAAAGCGUAGGGAGCGAACGGGGGAUUAGAUACCCCGGUAGUCUACGCCGUAAACGAUGCGCACUAGGUUCGAGACUUACUGACAAGCUUCGAGCCGAAGUAAAAACGAUAAGUGCGCCGCUGGGGAGUACGGCCGCAAGGCUA